GAAAUGCGAUAAGUAGUGUGAAUUGCAGAAUUCAGUGAAUCAUCGAAUCUUUGAACGCACAUUGCGCCCCUCGGUAUUCCGUGGGGCAUGCCUGUUCGAGCGUCAUCUACACCCUCAAGCUCUGCUUGGUGUUGGGCGUCUGUCCCGCCUCCGCGCGCGGACUCGCCCCAAAUGCAUCGGCAGCGGUUCCUUGCCCCCCUCUUUGCGCAGCACAUUGCCAUUCGAGGCGGCGGCGGCCCGCGUCCAACAAGCUCAACCCCCCCGUCUUUGACCUCGGAUCAGGUAGGGAUACCCGCUGAACUUAAGC
rnacentral:misc_RNA from 1 species